rnacentral:rRNA from 1 species
GGGCCAACGUUUUUUGGAAAUUUUGGGGGUAAAAGGGCAAUUUGGCGGUUUUGUUAAAUUAAAAGGGAAAAUCCCGGGGUUUACCCCGGAGGUGCUUUUAAUUUUUCCAGGCUUGAGUCCGGGAGGGGGAAACGGGAAUUCUUGUGUUGAGGGGGAAAUUGUUGAUUUUUGGAGGGACCCCCAUGGGGGAGGCGGGUAUUUUGUUCCGUUCUUACGGUGAGGGGGGAAAACGUGGGGAGCCAACCAGAAUAGAUUCCCUGGUUGUUCCCCCCGUUAACGAAGAGUGGUGAAAGGGGGGGGGUUUUGUCUCUGUGUUGUAGCUAACGCGUUAAGCACUCCGCCUGGGGACUACGGUCGCAAGACUAAAACUCAAAGGAAUUGACGGGGACCCGCACAAGCGGUGGAGCAUGUGGUUUAAUUCGAUGCAACGCGAAGAACCUUACCACUUCUUGACAUGGAGAUUAGAUCCUUCUUAACAGAAGGGCGCAGUUCGGCUGGAUCUCGCACAGGUGCUGCAUGGCUGUCGUCAGCUCGUGUCGUGAGAUGUUGGGUUAAGUCCCGCAACGAGCGUAACCCUCAUCCUUAGUUGCCAGCGGGUUAAGCCGGGCACUUUAAGGAGACUGCCAGUGGUAAACUGGAGGAAGGUGGGGAUGAUGUCAAGUCAGCACGGCCCUUAUGGGGUGGGCUACACACGUGCUACACAUGGUGACUACAAU